GACGAACGCUGGCGGCGUGCUUAACACAUGCAAGUCGAACGGUAAGGCCCUUCGGGGUACACGAGUGGCGAACGGGUGAGUAACACGUGGGUGAUCUGCCCUGCACUUCGGGAUAAGCCUGGGAAACUGGGUCUAAUACCGGAUAGGACUCCUGGCUCCAUGGUUGGGGGUGGAAAGCUUUUGCGGUGUGGGAUGGGCCCGCGGCCUAUCAGCUUGUUGGUGGGGUAAUGGCCUACCAAGGCGACGACGGGUAGCCGGCCUGAGAGGGUGACCGGUCACACUGGGACUGGGAUACGGCCCAGACUCCUACGGGAGGCAGCAGGGGGGAAUAUUGAACAAUGGGCGCAAGCCUGAUGCAGCGACGCCGCGUGGGGGAUGACGGCCUUCGGGUUGUAAACCUCUUUCAGCUAUGACGAAGCGCAAGUGACGGUAGUAGCAGAAGAAGGACCGGCCAACUACGUGCCAGCAGCCGCCGUAA
rnacentral:rRNA from 1 species